rnacentral:ncRNA from 1 species
GUUAAGGCUAUCGUAUAGUACCCGUCUUGAAACACGGAUUAGGGAGUUUAUCUGUAGUGCGAGUCUUUGCACGUUAACUGUAAAGGCGUAAAGAAAGCAACUGGCGUUUGCAUGGCUACUGAGCAUUACUGAUAGGACCCGAAAGGUGGUGAACUUUGCCUGCACAGGUUGAAGUCAGGGGAAACUCUGAUGGAGGACCGUACGGGUUAUUGAUGUGCAAAUCAUUUUUCUGAUGUAGGUAAAGGUGCGAAAGACUCAUCGAACCACCUAAUAGCUGGUUUCCUCCGAAGUUUCCCUCAGGAUAGCUGUAAUGCAUUUAGUUAAGGGGAGUAGAGAUAUGGGUAGAGGUGCAGGGAGCCUUCGGGUUCUCAACUUAUUUCCAAACUUCGAACCUCCUUGUUAGGCAUUUACCUAACUGGAAAUGCUUAAAUGAA